rnacentral:rRNA from 1 species
CAUCACUACGCUAGAUGCAUAUCAAUAAGCGGAGGAAAAGAAACUAACAAGGAUUCCCCUAGUAACGGCGAGUGAAGCGGGAAGAGCUCAAAUUUGAAAUCUUAAAGGGUUUCCCUUUACGAAUUGUAGUUUAAAGAAGUGUUUUCUGUUGGAGUUUCGGUAAAAGUUCUUUGGAAUAGGACAUCAUAGAGGGUGAGAAUCCCGUAUUUGACCGUUACUUUCCAGCUGUGUGAUACACUUUCAAAGAGUCGGAUUGUUUGGGAAUGCAGUCCAAGAUGGGUGGUAAAUUUCAUCUAAAGCUAAAUAUUGGCGAGAGACCGAUAGCGAACAAGUACCGUGAGGGAAAGAUGAAAAGAACUUUGAAAAGAGAGUUAAACAGUACGUGAAAUUGUCAAAAGGGAAGCGUUUGACACCAGUGUUGUUUAGUUGAAAAUCAAUUCAAUAGUUUUUGAUUCUAAGUAGUAUUGACUUCAUCAGCUUGCUGCUUUCUUCUCAGAAAUUAUUGAAUGCACUUUUCAGUUAACAGGUCAACAUCAAUUUCUUUUGUUGUAAAAGGGUAAGAGGAAGGUGGCUUGCGCUUCGGCUCAAGUGUUUAUAGCCUUUUAUCUCUGCAAUCGGAGAGAGUUGAGGUCUGCAGCGUAGAUCCUUCGGGGUUAGAUACAUUGGUGCUAAGCUAUAGCCUUGUAUAGACAACUUGUUGACUAUGCUCAGUCAUGUAGCUUACUCGCUGAUGCUAUUUUACCUACGCUUAGGAUGUUGACACACGCGCGUGCUCG